CAAAAACAUCACCUCUAGCAUCACCAGUAUUUCGCCUGUUUUCACAAAAACAUGGCGUUUUGAUUAUAAUUUAAGGUCUGGCCUGCCCAAUGAGUAGUUGAAUGGCCGCGGUAUUUUGACCGUGCAAAGGUAGCAUAAUCAUUAGUUUUUUAAUUGAAAGCUGGAAUGAAUGGUCGGACGAGAAAAUAACUGUCUCAGUAUAAUUUUGUUAGAAUUUUAUUUUUAAGUUAAAAAGCUUAAAUAUGUUUAAAAGACGAGAAGACCCUAUAGAGUUUUAUACAUGUAUAUUUAUUGGUUUUAUAGUAUUUUGAUGCUAAUAUUUAGUAACGUAUUUUGUUGGGGUGACAGAAAAAUUGACUAAACUUUUUCUAAAAUUGAACAUUUAUUUAUGAUUGUUUGAUCCAUUAUUUAUGAUUAUAAGAUUAAAUUACCUUAGGGAUAACAGCGUAAUUUUUUUUGAGAGUUCUUAUCGAUAAAAGAGUUUGCGACCUCG
rnacentral:rRNA from 1 species